CUGGCAUCAUGCUGCCUGUACAGCCUGCAGAACUGUUUCUGAUAACUUUCAAGAUUGUGACAUCAGAAUAGAGGAAAACUUUCAGGACCCAUGGAGAGCUGAAAUGUUCAUGAAUAUCAAGCAGAAUAGGAAUUAACUUCAUGGACUAAACUAGUAGAAGGCUGAAGUAAUCUUUUUAAGUUUUGCUUAAAACAUUGGUGAUCCUUUGUUUUGCUUUUCAGAGUCAACAACUUGUAAGCUAUUUACAAAUUUUAACAAUUGAAUAAAGUAUACUCC
rnacentral:lncRNA from 1 species